rnacentral:rRNA from 1 species
AAAUAACAAUAUAGGGCUCUUUUGGGUCUUAUAAUUGGAAUGAGUACAAUUUAAAUCCCUUAACGAGGAACAAUUGGAGGGCAAGUCUGGUGCCAGCAGCCGCGGUAAUUCCAGCUCCAAUAGCGUAUAUUAAAGUUGUUGCAGUUAAAAAGCUCGUAGUUGAACUUCAGACCUGGCUGGGCGGUCCGCUUAACGGCGUGUACUGUCUGGCUGGGCCUUACCUCUUGGUGAGCCGGCGUGCCCUUUAUUGGUGUGCGUCGGGGAACCAGGACUUUUACCUUGAGAAAACUAGAGUGUUCAAAGCAGGCCUAUGCCCGAAUACAUUAGCAUGGAAUAAUAAAAUAGGACGUGCGGUUCUAUUUUGUUGGUUUCUAGAGUCGCCGUAAUGAUUAAUAGGGAUAGUUGGGGGCAUUGGUAUUGAGUCGCUAGAGGUGAAAUUCUUGGAUUGACUCAAGACCGACUAUUGCGAAAGCAUUUGCCAAGGAUGUUUUCAUUAAUCAAGAACGAAGGUUAGGGGAUCGAAAACGAUCAGAUACCGUUGUAGUCUUAACAGUAAACUAUGCCGACUAGGGAUCGGGCAAUUUCAAUUUUCAUGUAUUGCUCGGCACCUUACGAGAAAUCAAAGUCUUUAGGUUCUGGGGGGAGUAUGGUCGCAAGGCUGAAACUUAAAGGAAUUGACGGAAGGGCACCACC